UAUAGGCACCUUCGUUUAAUUUCAAUUUAGUCUUCUAAUUUGAGUUUCGAAAAAUGGUACGAAAAUGCGGACAGUUGAUUCGUUUCUCGAUAAUAUUAUGACCAAGCAACAUCAAUAUCAACGGAUUAUAUAAUUAUAUAAAAAACUUUUACCAUUAUUAAAAUUUUCAACCAGCAAGGCCAACUAAUUCUAGUGAUUUUUAAUGCUGAGAGAAAUUGUUGACUGAGCACAUUGAUCAACAGAAAAAUCAAAAUGGUGAUGAUUAAAAAAUGUUGCUGUGGGUGUCCAUUGAGAGAAGGCAGUUUAGCAAUGGUAAUUCUUGAUUUAAUAUCGACGUGUUCUUUCAUUAUCUAUCAUGGCGCCAUGACAAACACCUAUAGUAAGCUUAAAUGGAAAAUAU